rnacentral:rRNA from 1 species
AGACCCGAAACCCGGUGAUCUAGCCAUGGGCAGGUUGAAGGUUGGGUAACACUAACUGGAGGACCGAACCGACUAAUGUUGAAAAAUUAGCGGAUGACCUGUGGCUGGGGGUGAAAGGCCAAUCAAACCGGGAGAUAGCUGGUUCUCCCCGAAAGCUAUUUAGGUAGCGCCUCGUGAAUUCAUCUCCGGGGGUAGAGCACUGUUUCGGCUAGGGGGCCAUCCCGGCUUACCAACCCGAUGCAAACUGCGAAUACCGGAGAAUGUUAUCACGGGAGACACACGGCGGGUGCUAACGUCCGUCGUGAAGAGGGAAACAACCCAGACCGCCAGCUAAGGUCCCAAAGUCAUGGUUAAGUGGGAAACGAUGUGGGAAGGCCCAGACAGCCAGGAUGUUGGCUUAGAAGCAGCCAUCAUUUAAAGAAAGCGUAAUAGCUCACUGGUCGAGUCGGCCUGCGCGGAAGAUGUAACGGGGCUAAACCAUGCACCGAAGCUGCGGCAGCGAACGUAUCACCCAAGACAACUUUGCGGAGUUGACGAUUGACGGAGCGAAGCGACGUCAAAGCGUUCAUUAAAGUCGAGUUGGCUUAGGGAUACGUUCGUUGGGUAGGGGAGCGUUCUGUAAGCCAGUGAAGGUGUGUCGUGAGGCAUGCUGGAGGUAUCAGAAGUGCGAAUGCUGACAUAAGUAACGAUAAAGCGGGUGAAAAGCCCGCUCGCCGGAAGACCAAGGGUUCCUGUCCAACGUUAAUCGGGGCAGGGUGAGUCGACCCCUAAGGCGAGGCCGAAAGGCGUAGUCGAUGGGAAACGGGUUAAUAUUCCCGUACUUGGUGUUACUGCGAAGGGGGGACGGAGAAGGCUAUGUUGGCCGGGCGACGGUUGUCCCGGUUUAAGCGUGUAGGUGUGUGUUCCAGGUAAAUCCGGUUCACUUUAACACUGAGGCGUGACGACGAGGCACUACGGUGCUGAAGCAACAAAUGCCCUGCUUCCAGGAAAAGCCUCUAAGCAUCAGGUAACAUCAAAUCGUACCCCAAACCGACACAGGUGGUCAGGUAGAGAAUACCAAGGCGCUUGAGAGAACUCGGGUGAAGGAACUAGGCAAAAUGGUGCCGUAACUUCGGGAGAAGGCACGCUGACACGUAGGUGAAGUGAUUUACUCAUGGAGCUGAAGUCAGUCGAAGAUACCAGCUGGCUGCAACUGUUUAUUAAAAACACAGCACUGUGCAAACACGAAAGUGGACGUAUACGGUGUGACGCCUGCCCGGUGCCGGAAGGUUAAUUGAUGGGGUCAGCGCAAGCGAAGCUCCUGAUCGAAGCCCCGGUAAACGGCGGCCGUAACUAUAACGGUCCUAAGGUAGCGAAAUUCCUUGUCGGGUAAGUUCCGACCUGCACGAAUGGCGUAAUGAUGGCCAGGCUGUCUCCACCCGAGACUCAGUGAAAUUGAACUCGCUGUGAAGAUGCAGUGUACCCGCGGCAAGACGGAAAGACCCCGUGAACCUUUACUAUAGCUUGACACUGAACAUUGAGCCUUGAUGUGUAGGAUAGGUGGGAGGCUUUGAAGCGUGGACGCCAGUCUGCGUGGAGCCGACCUUGAAAUACCACCCUUUAAUGUUUGAUGUUCUAACGUGGACCCGUGAUCCGGGUUGCGGACAGUGUCUGGUGGGUAGUUUGACUGGGGCGGUCUCCUCCUAAAGAGUAACGGAGGAGCACGAAGGUUGGCUAAUCCUGGUCGGACAUCAGGAGGUUAGUGCAAUGGCAUAAGCCAGCUUGACUGCGAGCGUGACGGCGCGAGCAGGUGCGAAAGCAGGUCAUAGUGAUCCGGUGGUUCUGAAUGGAAGGGCCAUCGCUCAACGGAUAAAAGGUACUCCGGGGAUAACAGGCUGAUACCGCCCAAGAGUUCAUAUCGACGGCGGUGUUUGGCACCUCGAUGUCGGCUCAUCACAUCCUGGGGCUGAAGUAGGUCCCAAGGGUAUGGCUGUUCGCCAUUUAAAGUGGUACGCGAGCUGGGUUUAGAACGUCGUGAGACAGUUCGGUCCCUAUCUGCCGUGGGCGCUGGAGAACUGAGGGGGGCUGCUCCUAGUACGAGAGGACCGGAGUGGACGCAUCACUGGUGUUCGGGUUGUCAUGCCAAUGGCACUGCCCGGUAGCUAAAUGCGGAAGAGAUAAGUGCUGAAAGCAUCUAAGCACGAAACUUGCCCCGA